GGAUGUGAGAGUGAUUUGGAUGUGGUAUCUGUCGCUCCACUGAUGCCAAGGUUGACUUGACUGAUGUGUCUGGAAAGCUGGUGUCCCCUUCCCUUCUCACUGCUCCCUGUGAGUCCCCUCUGAAGUUGCUCAGUUGAAGAAGACAACCACUCCCAGUAGAAGAGGGCCAUUUCCUUUCCUAGGUCAAGGGUAUAUGAGCAGCUGUACUGCCCUGCUAGAACCUCCAAACAACCUCUCAAGAAUAGAAAAAAUAACCUACAUGAAAAUAAAGACAUUAAUAGAUAAAAGAUUGAAAAGUAAAUUGAGAUCACAUUUUUCAUC
rnacentral:snRNA from 1 species